rnacentral:rRNA from 1 species
UACGAAGGGGACUAGCGUUGUUCGGAAUCACUGGGCGUAAAGCGCACGUAGGCGGAUGUGUCAGUCAGGGGUGAAAUCCCGGGGCUCAACCUCGGAACUGCCUUUGAUACUGGGGAUCUCGAGUCCGGGAGAGGUGAGUGGAACUGCGAGUGUAGAGGUGAAAUUCGUAGAUAUUCGCAAGAACACCAGUGGCGAAGGCGGCUCACUGGCCCGGAACUGACGCUGAGGUGCGAAAGCGUGGGGAGCAAACAGGG